rnacentral:lncRNA from 1 species
AAGUUUUUGGCGCCGUUGCCGGGGAACGGCUGAUUUAUUAGUAUAAUUUUAGAUUUAAUCAGUAUCUUAGUAUUUAGUCUUUUUCUUUCAAAAAAAAAAUCUUUAUUGCUGUUUUUUUAUUCCCUGCACAGUCUGCAUCAAACUCUGAUAUCAAAGACAUUAGCCGUCUGAUUGAACUGAAAUUUGGUCGUCAGGUGCAGGACCUGUGUUUCGUUCAUCUGAACGGUCUGAUUGACAUUCUGAAACUUUUAAGACUAUCAGAUUAAUACGAAAACCUGCUGCUGUCUGUUUUGAA